CUUUGUUUGUCCAUCGGGUGAAGAACAAAGUUCGGUUCCAUAUUUUUGUUCGCUCUUUUGUUUAUUGACUUCUAGCUCUGUACGUAUGCAGAAAUUGCAAGGUGUACUAUUCUGUGAUGUUCCAGGAUUCAAAUCGUGGAAAAGGAGCCUGCCACUAAAUUGUUCUGUCCAUGAGUAUGCCAUCCUCAAGAUGUCUAUGCAGGCAAGAACUUCAUGCUUUCUUGCUCUGGUUGGUGGGUCAGAUGAGCUUGCAAUAUCUCUGAGUUGUGCACAAGAAGACCUUUUGUGUAGGUUUAUUCUUGAGGGACAUGCCCGACGAGGAUAUUUCGAGGUGAUGAAGUAUUCAGCAUUCGACUCAUCCUUUCUUUCUUUGACAUAUGGGUGCACAAUAUUGAUCUCCUUUUCUGUUUUACUCACCCGAGCGGCAACGCGAAGCUGCAGUUGCUGAAAAUAGCGGUGCUAGCAUGAGGAUCACAUGUUCGUCUGUCUCUUAUUUCUAUCUCUUUUGGUAUAUCUUUCUCAGUCCUGAUACCUUUUGAUGAUACAGUUUUUCAUGUUUGAGUUGAUCAUUCAGUAAGAUCAAGCAACAUAAUGCUACAACUACUUCUUACGGUUCCAGUUAGACAAGAUAAAUAUGAAUAUCAAAAGGGUUGUUGGAUAUCGGCAAUGGUGCAAUAAAUUUUGGAAUGCCAUUCGAUUUGCAAUGGGCAGGCUUGGUGAUCAUUACAGUCCACUAGCAAUUAUCGUUGUGUCUCCAGUGCCUCCAAUCUGCAAAUAGAUACUCUCAGUAUUUAAUAAGACUAUUGGUAAGACUCUGCCCUCAUUACAAGCAUGCAAGUUCUUUGAUGGAACAUCUGCUAUAUACUCAUGGUAGAGCUCUCUCUUUUUUUGUCAUGAAUAAAAUGACAACACACUGAUUUAUUUACUGUAGUGGUCAGGUGCAUGGUUGAAAUGUUAUUCAAUGUGUGUAUAUUAUGAAAAUAUAUACAAGCGCCUUUUUAAUCACUACAACAGGAACCCCCCUUCAGCAACGCAUUGAUGCGUUGCCAUAUGUCCAUAUAAGCGUUGGUGACAUCUACACCAACGGAUUUGUUAUGUGUUGCCGUAGGUGGCGUUGCAAUGGUCUACAGGGAUGGAUAUACAUCCGUUGGUAAACGACACAAAGAAGCGUUGUAAGGCAGCAACGUAUAUAGUUAGAGCCUAACAACACUACAUAUGCGUUGGCACGUUGGUGAUGGCCAUGCAUGAAUGGAUUUUGAAAGGCACGUAUAUAAGAUCAUUGCGAAAGCUUAUACGAGUUGCUAGAUAGCUCAAACAAAUAAUGCUAGUCUACUGAUGGCCAAUAAAAAAUUAUUUAUUCAAUGCUCGGAGUGACAUCAGAAGCAAUAUAGUAAAUAGAAAGACCUCGUGUAUUAAUAAAUCAACUGUGUAGUUUUACAUAGAGCAUGAUUCAAAGAAUAGAAGUUGUGCAUAUCUAAAAAUGACAUUCUAAAAAACAAUCUACAACUAGGUCGUAGUAGCACCAUUGUCGAAACUUCCUCUCAGCACCUCAGCCAUGCAUCAUCCAAUUAUUUUGACAAUCUACAACAAAAGGACCAAUUUUAGAUAAGUAACUUACCAUUAGUGAAACAAAAGAACAAGUGAAUAAAAUAGCUCAAUUUAAAAUAACUGCAACAUAUAUACUCCUCCCAUUCGGAACUAAGUGAAUUGGUUUUGUCUAGAUACAGAUAAAUUUUAGUGUGUAGAUACAUCCAUAUCUAAAUAAAGUUUUGAGUCACUAUACUCCGAAUGAAGGUUGUACAAAGGGUGAAUGCCAUGAGAUAAUUAAUCUUACUAUUCUCGUAACAUGGAAGGAAGUUGAUCUUACCUUCUGUAAACAGCGAGGUCAAAGAAAGAACAAGAACCCAGGAACUCUUUAAGUCAUAUAUAAUUUAGCAUAAAAGUAUUGCAGGAGAUUCUUGUGUGUCCUAUUCUUUUCAGAUCCAAGUAAUCUUCCCAGGCUGCUGCACUUCUUAGACCAUAACAACCUCACUACCAAAGACGUCAGCAGGUUGUACCACAUGCUCUGAUUACUUAAUGGGCCCUACUUCUGUAGAACCAUGGUUUUAUGUUUCUAGUUACAUUACACAAAUACUGAAGCUUUACCUGUCGUCUAAAACUGCGUAAGCAUAGCAUGUUGUCAAGAAAACAACAGAAAUUUCUGAUCCAGUGUGUAUAGCUCCAUGUAAGGAUUACCUGACAAACACAACUGAGUUAAAGAAUUUUAUAUCUUAGUUGUUCCCCUUCUUAUGUUUAGGGGGUUCUAUGAAAGAAUUUCAGAAGUCAAAGCAGUUUCCCUUAUUUUUACAAUCGACUGGUUACUCCAUAACUGAAAGAUGCAUACGGUAGACAGUCCAUACACAAUCAUCGAAGGCAAGAUGAAUAUUAUGAGUUAAUAAUUUUUUUUGUUUGCACGUGCUUGGCAACAGACUUAAGCAGGUAUGUCCCUCCGUCCCAUUAAAAAAAAAUUAAAAGGGGA